UACGAAGGGUGCAAGCGUUAAUCGGAAUUACUGGGCGUAAAGCGUGCGUAGGCGGUGAGUUAAGUCUGUCGUGAAAUCCCCGGGCUCAACCUGGGAAUGGCGAUGGAUACUGGCUCGCUAGAGUGUGAUAGAGGAUGGUGGAAUUCCCGGUGUAGCGGUGAAAUGCGUAGAUAUCAGGAGGAACACCGGUGGUGUAAACGGCUCUCUGGACCGUAACUGACGCUGAGACACGAAAAGCGUGGGUAGCAAACAGG
rnacentral:rRNA from 1 species